UCGUACAUUCACACUCGUUCUUUCAGACCAAAAACCACCUUCUCUCUUGGCAGCCAUGGCCAGUCGCCAGGCCAUGAAAACAAACUCUCCCACUUGCUCUCUCUAGCAGCUUAACAAAUUAACAAAUUAUUUUUAGGGUUUCAAGAACAUCGGCCGAGAGAUCUUUCAUUACGGGUGGUCUCUAUAUGCUUUUGGCUUCGUCUCACCUAAAUCUCAUAUCUCACCUAAAGGCUCUUGAAUGUCGGCGGAUCUAAGCCCAGAUUAGCCUAUCUUCACUCUCCUCGCACACAUCUCUUCCUCACUCAAAUCACACCAGAUUUGAUGUUCGUAGUACAACUUCGUGUUGGGCUCGGAGAAUUGUGCAGCUUCCCAUUCUAUGCUCAGCUUCGGAGCCCAAUCAGAAAGCCGAAACUAUACCGAAAACGUCGUCUUCGAUUGAUUGGGUUUCUCGAGACGACCUUCUUGACCUUUCAGGAUAAAGUGCUCCACUUCCAUUGUUUUGAAUGCUUGCACAUGGAUUUGUUGCCACACACAGUGUACAAUUGUUGACUGCAAAGAGUUUACCUUAUGGAUUUGGGAAUUCUGAUGCUAGCGUGGUUUUACUUGGGACUACAACCUCCAUGGCAGCUGCUAGUGCUUGUUUCUUGUAUAUUCUUAGCACAUAGUUUUCAGGAACUUCGUGCUUCGUAUUGUUUGUGAUCGGCUUUCCUUUCCUUCAGCUUAUUUCAUCACUUUAAAGGAGUCAAUCAUUAAGGACAUAAUUGAAAACCCUUAAUAUGCUGCUGGCAAGCUGCUAUUAAGUCCUUAAUCUACCAAUUACACUGUUGGUGAGUUUAUGCACCUUCUAUGAGUCGAAUCAAUACCUAAAAAGGAGUUGUUGGGUGUACCAAUUGUUUCUCCAGUAUUGAUCUGUACAGGUACCCUAGUUAUUUCUCAAUUGCUAUCCAAGAUAUAUGGAGCAUUUUCAAAUAUCGAUACUGGCAUCCAGUGAGACCUUUAUGUUGCAAAUGGCUAUGAAUAGCUAGCAGGCAUCAUCAACCUUAAUAUGCUACUCUGAUAUGUUCUCUAGUUGUCCAUUUCAUCAAACCUUAUAUGUUAUCCAUGUCUGAAAUUGAUAUAUCACUUCUGGCAUGUUAAUAUGGCUUUUUUCAUCUUUUUUGCAAACUGGUUUUUCUUUUGUAUAUUAUUGCUUCUUGAUACCCUACAUGUAAACAAUUGUUUGUAAUUUAUAAUAGUUUGAAUACUAUGACAGUGAGCAGUGGCUGACAUGAGCGAUUACUUUUGAGCAUUUACAGAGGCAUUAUUAUUCUUAGUUUAGACCUUCAGCUAUGCUGCUAUAACUAAUGUUUAACUCUAGCCUGGAGUCAAAUAUUCUCUUUGACAUAGCUUGACUGGUUAAUGGGGCUUGAGGUCCAAACAGAUGGUGUUCCCCUUUAAAUUUGGUAGAAAACAUAAACAACUACAUGCCCACUAUGUAAUAAAAUAUUAAAUAAGUUAUUUACAAUAGAUUGUGACAAUUUUUUCAUUGCAUAGUUUCUCUGGGAUCUAAUAUUGACUAUCAUGCUCUUAUUUUGGAUCAACAGCCAAUGGAUUUUGAGUUCCCAAUGGAGUUUCUUGAGGCUGGGAAUGUAUAUAACUAUGCAAAGAACUAUGUUUCUCUGAGAUCCUUAAGCUGUUGUUACCACUACUUGACAGAUUACUUGCUUGAUAGUACUUGACAGUUUCAUCAGGAGAUCAUACAUAUAUUAGUCAUCCAUGGAGGAGAAGAGGAGAAUCAGUAGAUUAUUA